UUUAGAAACUUGCAUAUUAAUUAAAUUGGGAAAUUUAAUUAAUAGCACUUUUUUUUUUUAUUAAACUUAAUUAUUUCUGUGACUUGAGAACGUCGUCUACCUCUUUCUUUCCAUUUCCUUAGCAGCCGCCCGAGGCGUAGCGGGGCGAUGCUGGUCGGCCGCUUACGCCCAUAAUUCCUCCGUUAGCUCCUCGUAUUUUCCAUCAUAAUAUCGAACAAAAAUCCUAAAAUUUAUUUAAGCGCAUAAUCGAAUUAUCGCAACUAUUUCCCUUUGUUAAGAAAAAUUAUAUAUUCCGGACUUGGGAUAAACUAUUCAUACUUCAAAAUUAUUUCGGGAUUUAAUUAAAUAACUCCUAAAAAAUUUUAUUCAAUUCCAUGAUUAACUUAUCGUAAUAAUUUCCCACCGAGAAUUUAUAUUUAUUUCGGCCUUGGAAAUAUUAUAAAAUUAAUUAAACAAUUCCCCACAAUUAAUUCAAUUAUCAACCCAAUGAUUUAUUUAUAAAACCCAAAUUCUCCACCUUAUCUCUCAAAUUAAUUUACUAAAGCCCCAAAACAAUUUAAUUGGAGCCCAACUUAAAUAGAUCAUCCAAUUAAUUUAUUAAGCCCAGAAAUUAAAUAAAUUCGAAAAUGGGCCUCACACUUACUAGGUAUUGCAACCCCAAAUUAAUUUGAAGGGGAUUGGGCUCGGAUUAUAGUUGGGCUCGAAUAAAUAGUAUAACCCAUUUAAUUAAUUCAUGAGCCCAAAAUCAAAUAUUUCCCAUCCCUUAGCCCAAGUAACUAAUUUAUUAGUCCACCAAAUAAAUAAACCCAUAUACUCCACGCCACUGUCGGUUUCUUCCUCUCUCAACACUAUUCACACUUCUUCCCCAAAAUGCACAAAUUUGUUUCCCAAAUCAAAAACUUCCGCCGCCUCACCCCGUUUCACACCUCGCGACGUCGACCAGCCAUCCCUCCGUCGCCACCCUCGCACCGCCGUCUGCGUCGUCUCUCCCUCUCUCCCUCUCUCAGCCUCACGCCGCCGCGGAUCUGCCUCCAUCGCCGAUCCGCCGCCACUGCCUCCGUCAGACGUCACUGAUCCGUCGCCGCCGGGAGACGCGAUGCUGCUGCUGUUACGCCUGGAAGACGCGACGCCACUGCUAUCUCGAUGAUGUCGGUGCAGCCGCCGAUUCACCGGAAGAGCUGCUGCUGCUGAGGCGCGUACCCGCCGUCGCGCCGCUGAACCCAACGCCGGUCAGGCCGCUGCUGUUGCCGCCGGGUCAGGCCCGAUUAACUCCUAUGUCACCCCGAUUUACCCCGAAACGUCCCGGGACUAACCCGUUCAGCCGUGAAAGACUCCGACCCCGCGAAAGAGUGGUUCUUGGUUUUUCUUGCGGCAGAGAUAGGAGGAAACGGAUUGUGCAACAAAUAUUAUAGGGGAAUAGGACUUAGUUGUGAUGUGGAAGUGAACAAGGUGAUUGUGAUACGUAUAAAAGAUGGAGAUGGCUGUGAAUGUGGCGUGGGCAUCAAGUUGCUAACAUUCCUAUCUAUAAUUUAAAAGCAGCAAUUUAAUGCUCUGUCUGAAAAAAAAACAAUUCAAUGUAUCUGUCUUCUUUCUCAUUUUUAUUUUAUUUUAUUUGUUUAUUAAAUUUUAUUAUUUGUAUAUUUAUUUACUUAUUUAUUUAAUUUGGUAUAGCAAAAACCCAGUUUAAGCUCGUGGCUUUGGUGUAGGAAAACAAAUAACAUCCAUAGUCUUCCCUGAUGAUGUACCGGACUUUCUUGGAGUGCGAGCACGACCAUUGAACGGGCUGCAUGAACUUUUCUCUAAUUGUAAUAGAUAAGGAUUUAAUAAAUUUGUAUAAUAGUAAUUUAGCGGACUUCGGAGAUAUGCCGUACAUUAUAACUUUUUAUUUGGUGUUACUUUUUUUUUUUUACUUGAAAUAUUCGUUCAAGAACGAA